ACCCUCACAUGGUAAACCUGCCCAUGGCAAGCCUGGAGCCCGUGCUGUGCAGCUUAGGUUGCAAAUCCAGGUAGCUGCUGACUAGCUUCUCUGUCAUUUUUCUCAGAAAGCCGGCAGGGCAACCACCAUGCCACCAGCUUCAAAACAGGAGAGGAAGACCCAGGAGAGCAAGGGAGCAGGCUCCUGAAGGCCAAGGCCUGAACAGAGGAGGCAACAACUGAGGAGAGUCUUUCUCUGGACUCCGUGCAAAGUUCACCAGGGAGCAGAACUGCUGAGAAGAAGCAGCAGAUUUCCCAGAAAGAUUGCCCACGCCUGGCAGUCCCAUUUCUUUUCACUGACUGGUAAGUAAGAUCAGUCACUGUCCUUCCUCACCUGGUCAUAGAAUUUUUUCUUUGUACUGUAUAGUGUUUGCCUAUGAUUUAGUUU
rnacentral:lncRNA from 12 species